UAUUUACUAGUAACUUCUUUUUUUUUUUAAAGAAAUUUAAUUAUUUUUUUUUAAUAUCUUAAAAACUGAAAAGGAUUUUUUAGUAAAUAAAAAAAAGAAAAAAAAAUGUACCUUUAGCAUAAGGGAAUUUCUAAAAAAAAAAAAAAUUUUUUUUUCCCGAAAUAAUUUGAGCUAAAAUUAUAAAUUAAUUUAUAUUUCAAUAUAAAUAAAAUUUAAUUUUAGAUGUGAAAUUCUUUUCAAAAAUUAAGAUAUCUGGUUAUAAUAAUAAGUUUACUUCAAGUAUGUCCAUAAAUGUAAUUAUUAUAGAAUAUUAUGGAAAAUUAAUUUUGGGAUAAGCUAAAAUUAAAAAUUUAAAACUAAUAAAUAAAAAACAGAAAGAUUAAAAUUUUCUUUUUUAUUUUCAUAAAUAUGUUUAAUUUGAAAAUUAAAAUAUUUAAAAAAUUUAAUAAAUUUAAUUUAAAAUUUAAAUAAAAAUGAAAAUAUUAGUAAAAGUUUAAAUAAAUUUAUUAUUUAAAAUUAAAAUUUAAUAGAAAAAUAAUUUUUAAGAAUUCAGCAAAAUUUUUUUUUAACUGUUUAAUAAAAACAUUUCAUUUAGUAAAACUAAUUAAAUGUAAUUUCUGCUCAAUGAAAUUUUUAAUUGCUGUAGUAUUUUGACUAUACAAAGGUAUUGUAAUAAGAUUUUAAUUGAAUGCUAAAAGAAUGGAAAUUUAAAAAAAAACUUUUUUAAAAAUAAAAAUUGAAUUUUUUUUAAUUUGUGCAAAAACAAUUAUACUUAUUAAAGACAAGAAGACCCUAAGAAUUUAAGAUUUUACAAUUAAAAAGUUUUUUUUUUUAAAAUCUUGAUUGGGGCGAUCAAAAAAUAUUAAUAACUUUUUAAAAUUUAAAUUGAUCUAUUAUUAAUAAACUAAUGAAUUAAAUACUCUAGGGAUAACAGCGUAAUAAUUUUUGAUAGAUCUUAUUGACAAAAUAGUUUGCGACCUCGAUGUUGGAUUAGGAUUCUUUUUUAAUGAAGAAGUUAAAAAAAGAAGUUUGUUCAACUUUUAAAUUCCUACAUGAUCUGAGUUUAGACCGAUGAGAAUCAGGUUGGAUUCUAUCUUAAUAAAAAAUUUUUUUAGUUAGUACGAAAGGAAUUCUAAAAUUUAAUUAUUAAGAUAAACAACUUUAUUUGCAUCAAUUUUUGUAAUUU
rnacentral:rRNA from 1 species